CUCGCGAUAUUGGGCGUAAGAGCUCGUAGGCGGUUUGUCGCGUCUGCUGUGAAAGACCGGGGCUCAACUCCGGUUCUGCAGUGGGUACGGGCAGACUAGAGUGCAGUAGGGGAGACUGGAAUUCCUGGUGUAGCGGUGAAAUGCGCAGAUAUCAGGAGGAACACCGAUGGCGAAGGCAGGUCUCUGGGCUGUAACUGACGCUGAGGAGCGAAAGCAUGGGGAGCGAACAGGAUUAGAUACCCUGGUAGUCCAUGCCGUAAACGUUGGGCACUAGGUGUGGGGGACAUUCCACGUUUUCCGCGCCGUAGCUAACGCAUUAAGUGCCCCGCCUGGGGAGUACGGCCGCAAGGCUAAAACUCAAAGGAAUUGACGGGGGCCCGCACAAGCGGCGGAGCAUGCGGAUUAAUUCGAUGCAACGCGAAGAACCUUACCAAGGCUUGACAUGAACCGGUAAUACCUGGAAACAGGUGCCCCGCUUGCGGUCGGUUUACAGGUGGUGCAUGGUUGUCGUCAGCUCGUGUCGUGAGAUGUUGGGUUAAGUCCCGCAACGAGCGCAACCCUCGUUCUAUGUUGCCAGCGGUUCGGCCGGGGACUCAUAGGAGACUGCCGGGGUCAACUCGGAGGAAGGUGGGGACGACGUCAAAUCAUCAUGCCCCUUAUGUCUUGGGCUUCACGCAUGCUACAAUGGCCGGUACAAAGGGUUGCGAUACUGUGAGGUGGAGCUAAUCCCAUAAAGCCGGUCUCAGUUCGGAUUGGGGUCUGCAACUCGACCCCAUGAAGUCGGAGUUCGCUAGUAAUCGCAGAUCAGCAACGCUGCUGUUGAAUACGUUCCCGGGCCCUUGUUACACUACCGCCCGUCAAGUCACGAAAGUUUGGUAACACCCGAAGCCGGUGGGCC
rnacentral:rRNA from 1 species